AGACGAAAAAAAACAAGGAAUGAAAAAGAGAAAGCAUCAUGUAGCCUAGAUUGAACAUGUACGGACUUCUGCUUAUCUUUUUUAUGUUUCUUCUCCUUUUUCUCCUUUUUGUCUUUCUU
rnacentral:ribozyme from 1 species